rnacentral:rRNA from 1 species
AGCUAAUACCGCAUAAUGCAGCGGCUCGACAUCGAGACAGUUGUUAAAGCGGGGGAUCGUAAGACCUCGCGCCUGAAGAGAAGCCUGCGGCAGAUUAGCUAGUUGGUAGGGUAAUGGCCUACCAAGGCGACGAUCUGUAACCGGCCUGAGAGGGCGGUCGGUCACACUGACACUGACAUACGGGUCAGACUCCUACGGGAGGCAGCAGUCGGGAAUUUUGGGCAAUGGGCGAAAGCCUGACCCAGCAACGCCGCGUGAAGGAUGAAAUUUUUCGGAAUGUAAACUUCGCAAGAACGGGAAGAAUAAGUAGAAGAUAAUACCUUCUAUGAUGACGGUACCGUUUGUAAGCUCCGGCUAACUCCGUGCCAGCAGCCGCGGUAAUACGGGGGGAGCAAGCGUUGUUCGGAUUUACUGGGCGUAAAGGGCGCGUAGGCGGUCGUGACAAGUCACUUGUGAAAUCUCCGGGCUUAACUCGGAACGGUCAAGUGAUACUGUCGGACUAGAGUACAGAAGGGGCAACUGGAAUUCUCGGUGUAGCGGUGAAAUGCGUAGAUAUCGAGAGGAACACCUGCGGCGAAGGCGGGUUGCUGGGCUGAUACUGACGCUUGAGGCGCGAAAGCCAGGGGAGCGAACG